rnacentral:rRNA from 1 species
UACGGAGGGAGCUAGCGUUGUUCGGAAUUACUGGGCGUAAAGCGCGCGUAGGCGGCUUUGUAAGUUAGAGGUGAAAGCCCGGAGCUCAACUCCGGAACUGCCUUUAAAACUGCAUCGCUUGAAUCCAGGAGAGGUGAGUGGAAUUCCGAGUGUAGAGGUGAAAUUCGUAGAUAUUGGGAAGAACACCGGUGGCGAAGGCGGCGCUCUGGACCGAGACUGACGCUGAGGCGCGAAAGCGUGGGGAGCAAACAGG